ensembl:lncRNA
CCUUGAACUGCCAGUGGCCACGGUGAGUAGAAAACGCUGUUUUGGCCCGUGCUUCCGGAGCCAGUAGCCGCUGCGCAGAUCGAGGGAGGAAAACCAGGAGGACCCUCUCACCAGGUCGAGGCACUCGUCUACACGUGGAAUUGGGUAAGAGUCCUUCCGUGUCACUGCAUUCAACCCCCUGUAGUCGACACAGAAUCUUUGUUUCCCCCCUUUCUUAGGUACCAUCACCACUGGAGCUGACCACAGGCUGUUGGACGGCUCAAUGAAGUUGGCCUGCUCCAUCUCCUCCACGGCUCUGUCCGCUGCUUCCUGUCUUGCCAGUGCUAUGCGACGUGGUCGAAUCUUCACCGGUUGAGCGUCGCCUGUGUUGAAGUUGUCUCAGCUGCUCCCCUUGUUCUGAGUUGAGGUCCUUGUUGUUCCUCCGACAGACCUCCUCCACUGCUGCCAGAGAGGCGUCAACCCCCCCUACGGCCUGUAGGGGUGGGGGCAGAGAUGAUGGCGUGGUUGGUGACGUCUCGGUGUUGUCCCGAGGGGAUGCAGAACGGCCGCCCUUCCCACUAAACAGAACCCCGGGUGUGGACAUUUUGACAUCAGGCCCACCCCCAAAACGCAUGGUGCCUGUGCCUAGAUCUAACUGGCAGCCAAUGUCUCUGAGGAAGUCUAAGCCCAGGAUACAGGGGUCCUGCACACUAGCUACCCACACUAGGUGUUUUACUGUCUUACCCCCCACAGUCAGUGACAUCAGUUUUUUUCCUAACAUAGGAGAAGUCUCACCGGUAACAGUCCGCAGUUGCACAGCAGUUGGUUCCCAAGCCACCCACUCAGGAACAAUGUCCGGCCGCACAAUCGUCACAGUGGACCCAGUGUCCACCAAGGCUGUACACGCUGUCCCCUCCACCACAACUGGUAUGUGACAGAACUCGCCAGCCGUUGUGCGCCCCACCACAACAAUUUUAUUUGAAUUUCCCCUCCCUUUCCCUUGAGUGCCCUGUAGCUGCCUGGUAUGUGGGGGCGUGUCUAUGGUCCGUACAGCCCCCUCUGUACGAACCCCUUCCGUUUCCCUGGGACUUGGUAGCUGAAGGGCAGUCACGGAGCAAAUGACCGGGCUGGCCACACCCCCAGCAGGCUAAGGGGCCAGAACGCCGUCUGCGCUGCUCAUUGGCCUGGGUCGAAGCAUGCAAAGACAUGGCACGGAUAAGCUCUGUCAUUUCAGUCGCCCACGUCGGCUUUUCCUCUCUCACCGCGCAUGGUUCCGCCGUUCUCACCACCGCGGAAUCUCCUGCUCUCCUCCCAGCAGCCUCCCCCCAGAUGACCUCGUUCCUCCUCGCUACCUCGAACGCCUCCUGCAGCGAACGUGGUCCUGCCAGCUGGGUCUGUGCUCGCAGUUCUGAAGGAGUCAAAGCCAAGAUGAAACGGUCGCGGGCUAGUUCAUCCUGCAAGGUCGGCGACAUGUGACCGUAAGCUCGGCGGGUCAGGCCCUCGAUGUCGUUAACCAACGAUCUGAGCGAUUCUUCCGGUAACCUUACUCUACGGCCCAGUGCCGGAAGAAUUAGUUCAGGAUGUCUGUCACGACCGUAUCUCUGAGUAAGUGCCCCGACUAGCGCCCCAUAAUCACGCCUUUGAUCCGGGCUAAGCAAUAUCAGGCAAGCAACUGCUUCUCCGGAUAGGCACAUCGCUAACUGCAGCGCUCUCUGCUCCUCCUUCCAGCCAACCGAGUCUGCUAAAAGUUCGAAUUGGGCCAUGAAAGCUUCAAAGUCGGCAUCACCAGAGAACUUGGGUGUCUUCACGCUACAGUUAGCCACCGGGUACUGCGCCGCGCCAUCUUUGUUGACAUUGCCAUAGUAAUGCUGAUCGUCGCGCCGUGAUGUCGGCAUUGGGUCCUUUAUGUCCGGAGCGGCGCCCUGUAGUUGCGUCAGAUCCAGCUUGGCGGGUAAAGCACCGACGAAGACCUUCUCUCUCCCCCUCCUGCAGAGCACCACGAUGUGCCCGGCGCCCUGCAAUCCCCUAUGUCGAUUCUGACCUCGGCCUGCUCUUUCUUUAUCUUAGGUCUCGCGCCCAGCAUCUUCCCUUACGCGACUCGAUACGUUAUCCGAGUUGACGACUAAACUAGCCCUCAGACCGAGGCGGCAGUUCGAAAGCGCUUCUGACACCAGUGUAACACCCCUGGCCGGGAUGCUAAAUCAGGAGCCGGAGUCAGAGGUAAAGAAUGCCAGGUAGAAUUUAUUAACCCUAACAAGACAGCUGUGUGGCCACUGUCUAUGCCCAACAAUACCUGUUAACACACAGGCUCUUUACAAACUCUCUUAGAUCUGUAGCUAGCUAAGACAAGUACACCUGUCACGGUCCUCUAUCACACACAGGAGUGGAGCCACAAGAGAAAGAGCUUCCCCAAAACCCCACCUUAUAUAAGCUAUGGCCUGAGACCCCUGGACCCGCCCCUGCUGUCCCCAAGCCCCCCAGAGAUGCCCUCCUCACUGCGGGACGUCCCACCAGGUACACCAGCCCCACCUAACUGUCAGGCCCCGCCCCCUAAUGAAGCAUAACUGACCAACUUAGAACUUUAAAUGAACACAGGGUCGCUACACUAUCAUGGUUUGUUUGGACAGUGAAUUGUUCCCUAUUAUAGGUGGUCCCUGUCAAAGGUAGAUGUUUUCCCUAUUUUAAAGGUAGAAAUCUGUCACAGGUACAACAGGAUAUGCAUAAGUCUUUUGUAUGAUUUUGUCGCAUGGAUCAUGAUACGGACAAGGGGGGUUUUGAUUGUUCAAUGGACUUUGAGGG